UACGUAGGGUGCAAGCGUUAAUCGGAAUUACUGGGCGUAAAGCGUGCGCAGGCGGUUUUGUAAGUCUGUCGUGAAAUCCCCGGGCUCAACCUGGGAAUUGCGAUGGAGACUACAAGGCUAGAGUGUAGCAGAGGGGGGUGGAAUUCCACGUGUAGCAGUGAAAUGCGUAGAGAUGUGGAGGAACACCGAUGGCGAAGGCAGCCCCCUGGGUUAACACUGACGCUCAGACACGAAAGCGUGGGGAGCAAACAGG
rnacentral:rRNA from 1 species